rnacentral:rRNA from 1 species
AUUGAACGCUGGCGGCAUGCUUUACACAUGCAAGUCGAACGGCAGCGCGGGCUUCGGCCUGGCGGCGAGUGGCGAACGGGUGAGUAAUGCAUCGGAACGUGCCCAGUAGUGGGGGAUAGCCCGGCGAAAGCCGGAUUAAUACCGCAUACGACCUGAGGGUGAAAGCGGGGGACCGAAAGGCCUCGCGCUAUUGGAGCGGCCGAUGUCGGAUUAGCUAGUUGGUGGGGUAAAGGCUUACCAAGGCGACGAUCCGUAGCUGGUCUGAGAGGACGACCAGCCACACUGGGACUGAGACACGGCCCAGACUCCUACGGGAGGCAGCAGUGGGGAAUUCUGGACAAUGGGGGCAACCCUGAUCCAGCCAUGCCGCGUGCGGGAAGAAGGCCUUCGGGUUGUAAACCGCUUUUGUUCGGGAAGAAAUCCUCUGGGCUAAUACCCCGGGGGGAUGACGGUACCGGAAGAAUAAGCACCGGCUAACUACGUG